rnacentral:rRNA from 1 species
GAUAAACGCUGGCGGCGUGCCUAAUACAUGCAAGUCGAACGGAAGGUUUGUAGCAAUACUAACCUUUAGUGGCGAAUGGGUGAGUAACGCGUUGGUGACCUGCCCCGAAGAGAGGGACAACAGUUCGAAAGGACUGCUAAUACCUCAUGUGGUUACAAGGAUUAGAUAACUUGUAUCUAAAGGAGCAAUCCGAUUAGGGAGGGACCUGGGUCCCAUCAGCUAGUUGGUAGGGUAAAGGCGUACCAAGGCUACGACGGGUAGGGGGCCUGAGAAGGUGGCCCCCCACAUUGGCACUGAAACACGGGUCAAACACCUACGGGUGGCAGCAGUAGGGAAUAGUGCACAAUGGGCGAAAGCCUGAUGCAGCAACGCCGCGUGCGCGAUGAAGGCCUUCGGGUCGUAAAGCGCUUUUUGAGGAGAUGAGGAAGGACAGUAUCCUCAGAAUAAGAUUCGGCUAACUACGUGCCAGCAGCCGCGGUAACAC